rnacentral:rRNA from 1 species
UACGGAGGGAGCUAGCGUUGUUCGGAAUUACUGGGCGUAAAGCGCACGUAGGCGGCUAUUCAAGUCAGAGGUGAAAGCCCGGGGCUCAACCCCGGAACUGCCUUUGAAACUAGGUAGCUAGAAUCUUGGAGAGGUCAGUGGAAUUCCGAGUGUAGAGGUGAAAUUCGUAGAUAUUCGGAAGAACACCAGUGGCGAAGGCGACUUACUGGACAAGUAUUGACGCUGAGGUGCGAAAGCGUGGGGAGCAAACAGG